UGAGAGCAAAUAUUGAUUAAGUUGUUGUGAUCUUGAGCUGAAUAUUUUGUACUCAUAUCCACUCUAUUGAGAGAGUUAUUGUAUAAGUGAGUAUUAAGUGUUUUGUAAACACUUGUUGCAAGAGGGAAUAUUGUAUUUCUUCUUGAGAAGUCUUAGGGAUAGGUUUCCUUAAGCAAGGUUGUUUGAGGCUUGUGUGAUUCAAGUUCUCAAGUUGUAACAGUUCGUUAGGCACCCGUAAGCUUAACAUGGAAGUCUUGGGGUGAGGUAUCCUCAAGCAUGUGUUUGAGAUUUGUUGGAUUCAAGUCUCAAGUGUAACGGUUUGUUGAGCACCCGUAAGCUCGACAGGGUUUAGUGGAAAUCUCGAGAGAGUCUCUCGGGGACUGGACUAACCACAGGGUUGUGGCGAACCAGGAUACAUCGGUGUGUUCUUUCCUUGCUCUCUUU
rnacentral:lncRNA from 1 species